rnacentral:rRNA from 1 species
AGACAGCAGCAGCCGCGGGAAAACGAAGGGUGCAAGCGUUACUCGGAAUUACUGGGCGUAAAGCGUGCGUAGGUGGUGGUCUAGGUCCGUUGUGAAAGCCCUGGGCUCAACCUGGGAAUUGCAGUGGAUACUGGGUCACUAGAGUGUGGUAGAGGAUAGUGGAAUUUCCGGUGUAGCAGUGAAAUGCGUAGAGAUCGGAAGGAACAUCUGUGGCGAAGGCGACUAUCUGGGCCAACACUGACACUGAGGCACGAAAGCGUGGGGAGCAAACAGGAUUAGAUACCCGCGUAGUCCCUGUCUCUUAUAC